rnacentral:pre_miRNA from 1 species
UUGUGUGGCUCAGGAAGCAGAGACUGGGGCAUCUCUACCAUGGCCUGGGCUCCUCUCCUCCUCACCUUCCUUGCUCACUGUGCAGGAGG